AAGGAGUUAGUUUUGAAGUUGAGAAGGUUUUAUUACACUCUGUAACGUCCAAGUCAUAAAUUCUCUGGACCCUUCCUCCCAACCUUGAUCGAUUCAACUUUCUUAUUUUACACCUACACCAACACACUACUCUCUUUCCAGUUUCCACCACCAGAUCUCACUCCUUUUUCCUUUUCUUCUUUUUCUACACAUUCACACACGAUCCUCGAUAAUUUAGAAUCUCUGUCCAGAAAAAAUAAGCAAUCGAAUUUGAUUGCAUUAAUCGAUAUCGCUCUCUUCUCUCGUUUAUUUUCUCCAUCGCAUUUCCGGUUUUCUGUUCGGCAUUCGGUGAUGUGACUCUCGCAGAGGCAGUGUUUUGUCUUCUGGCGUUCCGGUGCGGUCUCCUCCGUCUGGUUCGUCGACUACAAUCGUUGAUGAACAUCGCAGGUAUUGCCAUUUUAAAGCAGCGAAUCUUUUUUUUUUUUUAAUUUUUAUUUGGUUUUGAUUCUUUGAAUUUUUCUUCUUAUAUUAAGUCGAUUGCUCGAUCCUUUCUCUUCUUUUUCUCUUUUGCUAGCUAGAUAAUAUCGUCGUUUAAGUUAGAGGUAGAUUUUUAAGGCUUUUUUUUUUUAAAAGUUUUAAUUUCCUUAACAGCAUUGAGUAUCCGCCGCUAAAUUCCAUGUUUAGUUACGAAAAUUUAUUAGCCUGUUUCUUAGAUUAGAUCUUUGUGAGGCGCGUAUCCUGGUGGUAUAUCCAUUUUCAGUGAUGAUAGGUACAUAUAACAUAAUUAGGUAUAAAUUUAGGUUUUUGUAAUAAGUUUUCUUUCAUUAUAUGCUCGUACAGUUAAAUCACCCAUCCGAAAAAGCACUUCUUAAUUCAUAAAAUUCAAAGCAACACGAAUUAGUAGGAACCUUUUGUCAGAAAAUUACAUUAUUUUAGCAUAUUCUUUUGGUUUAAAAAAAUUAAUUCGAAUAAUUAAUUAUUUUUUUAAAAAAUAUAGUCCUGCCGACCAAUUUAUUUGAGUAAGUUGUUGAAGUUUUAAUUUAAUUUGAUAGUAAUUUACAAUCAUUAAUUUAAACUUUUAUUAUUUUAUAAAUAUAUUAUAUCCCAAUUAAAAUGGAUGAUUCAGUUUUGAAACACAAUAACAAAUAUGAAAUCAUGUUUUGUUUUUUGUUUUUCAUUAUCCUUUUUGACAACUACAAAGUAGGUUGCACAUCACGUUUAGCUCUGCUGAAUCCACCUGGCGCACGUGAGGGUAGUAGGGCUUUAUUACAUGCCUCACGAACCCAAUUUGGACUGACCCUCAACCUUUUUUUUUUUUUUGACCAACCUUCAACUUGAAACCUACUGAAUUAAUAAGGUCUCUUCAACAUAAAAUUCACUACUUAACUUUAAAAGUAUGAUAAUGAAUGUACUUUGACAUUGUGAUUAUCCGAUUCAUAAUUUAGGAUGAAAAUUUCAAUUCUUUUUUAAAUUAAAAUUGACAUACAUUGCAAUAUAAUUAAAAAAACCCCCUUAAAAGUAUGAUUAAAUUAUUGGCAGUAUUCUCAUGAAACUUUAAAUUUAUUUUAAAGAAAAAUAUUGAAUAUGCUUGAAAUUGUUUAUACUAACUAUAAGGAACUUCCAGUUUUUUUUUUUUUCUUUUUUAAUUUAUGUUUAGUAACAUAGAAUAGGAUCAGGAUUUUUAUUAUAUUUUAAAAUAAGUUUUAAAAGAGAGAAAGUAAGUGCUAUAUUCUUAAAUUUUUAGGUUGUUAGAUUUUAAGUUUUAUGAUUGAAGUAAGA
rnacentral:lncRNA from 1 species